rnacentral:rRNA from 1 species
GAUUCGUCACACUAUCAUUAACUGAAUCCAUAGGUUAAUGAGGCGAACCGGGGGAACUGAAACAUCUAAGUACCCCGAGGAAAAGAAAUCAACCGAGAUUCCCCCAGUAGCGGCGAGCGAACGGGGAGGAGCCCAGAGCCUGAAUCAGCAUGUGUGUUAGUGGAAGCGUCUGGAAAGGCGCGCGAUACAGGGUGACAGCCCCGUACACAAAAGCGCAUGUGCUGUGAGCUCGAUGAGUAGGGCGGGACACGUGGUAUCCUGUCUGAAUAUGGGGGGACCAUCCUCCAAGGCUAAAUACUCCUGACUGACCGAUAGUGAACCAGUACCGUGAGGGAAAGGCGAAAAGAACCCCGGCGAGGGGAGUGAAAAAGAACCUGAAACCGUGUACGUACAAGCAGUGGGAGCCCCACCACUAAGCCAGUGGUGAACUCCACAUACGCAUCCUUUGCUGAGGAUACGGUUAACGGAGCGAAAGCGACGUUCAACCUCAAAAGAAGCAGAGGGGGCUUAGUGGUGGGGUGACUGCGUACCUUUUGUAUAAUGGGUCAGCGACUUAUAUUCUGUAGCAAGGUUAACCGUAUAGGGGAGCCGGAGGGAAACCGAGUCUUAAUUGGGCGUUAAGUUGCAGGGUAUAGACCCGAAACCCGGUGAUCUAGCCAUGGGCAGGUUGAAGGUUGGGUAACACUAACUGGAGGACCGAACCGACUAAUGUUGAAAAAUUAGCGGAUGACCUGUGGCUGGGGGUGAAAGGCCAAUCAAACCGGGAGAUAGCUGGUUCUCCCCGAAAGCUAUUUAGGUAGCGCCUCGUGAAUUCAUCUCCGGGGGUAGAGCACUGUUUCGGCUAGGGG